AACGAACGCUGGCGGCAUGCCUAACACAUGCAAGUCGAACGAGACCUUCGGGUCUAGUGGCGCACGGGUGCGUAACGCGUGGGAACCUGCCCUUAGGUUCGGAAUAACUCCCCGAAAGGGGUGCUAAUACCGGAUAAUGUCUUCGGACCAAAGAUUUAUCGCCUUUGGAUGGGCCCGCGUUGGAUUAGCUAGUUGGUAGGGUAAAAGCCUACCAAGGCGACGAUCCAUAGCUGGUCUGAGAGGAUGAUCAGCCACACUGGGACUGAGACACGGCCCAGACUCCUACGGGAAGCAGCAGUGGGGAAUAUUGGACAAUGGGCGAAAGCCUGAUCCAGCAAUGCCGCGUGAGUGAUGAAGGCCUUAGGGUUGUUAAGCUCUUUUACCCGGGAUGAUAAUGACAGUACCGGGAGAAUAAGCGCCGGCUAACUCCGUG
rnacentral:rRNA from 1 species